UGGGUGGGUGGUCAAUGUUUCAAAACACCCCUCUCUCGCUGAAAUUAAGCAUAUCAAUAAGCGGAGGAAAAGAAACCAACAGGGAUUGCCUCAGUAACGGCGAGUGAAGCGGCAAGAGCUCAAAUUUGAAAUCUGGGUCCUUCGGGGCCCGAGUUGUAAUUUGGAGAGGAUGCUUCGGGCGUGGCCCCCGUAUAAGUGCCCUGGAACGGGCCGUCAUAGAGGGUGAGAAUCCCGUCUGGGAUGGGUGGUCCCGCCCGUGUGAAGCUCCUUCGAAGAGUCGAGUUGUUUGGGAAUGCAGCUCUAAGAGGGUGGUAAAUUUCAUCUAAAGCUAAAUAUUGGCCGGAGACCGAUAGCGCACAAGUAGAGUGAUCGAAAGAUGAAAAGCACUUUGAAAAGAGAGUUAAACAGCACUUGAAAUUGUUGAAAGGGAAGCGUUGGCAACCAGACUCGCCCGGGAGGGUUCAGCCGGCACGUGUGCCGGUGCACUCCCCCCCGGGCGGGCCAGCGUCUGUUUGGGCGGUCGGUCAAAGGCCCCGGGAAUGUAGCACCCUCCGGGGUGCCUUAUAGCCCGAGGCGCCUUGCGACCUGCCCGGACCGAGGAACGCGCUCCGGCAUGGACGCUGCCCUUUGGCUGUCAACGGCUCGGUCUGGAAACAGUGGUCGGCGGGUGCUUUAUUUUCCGCGGGCUAGUUACCUUCCCCUCGCAUUUUUGUUGACG
rnacentral:ncRNA from 2 species